ACCCUCUCAGGAUGGCACCUGGAGAGUUUCCAGUACUCUACCAGUCUCGACUACGAGAGGGAGAGUCAAGCAGCGGCAUACCCAUUCCAUUCCUAGCUUGGCCAAUGGCUAGUGAGUGGAAGGCCAUCGGCUACAAGU